rnacentral:rRNA from 1 species
CCUACGGGAGGCAGCAGUGAGGAAUAUUGGUCAAUGGUCGGGAGACUGAACCAGCCAAGCCGCGUGAGGGAGGAAGGUACAGAGUAUCGUAAACCUCUUUUGUCAGGGAACAAAGGCGGGGACGUGUCCCCGGAUGAGUGUACCUGAAGAAAAAGCAUCGGCUAACUCCGUGCCAGCAGCCGCGGUAAUACGGAGGAUGCGAGCGUUAUCCGGAUUUAUUGGGUUUAAAGGGUGCGCAGGCGGUCUGUUAAGUCAGUUGUGAAAGCUUGGGGCUCAACCCCAGACCCGCAGUUGAUCCGGGCAGCCUCGAGUACAGGAGAGGUAGGCGGAAUUCGUGGUGUAGCGGUGAAAUGCAUAGAUAUCGCGAAGAACUCCGAUUGCGAAGGCAGCCUGCGAGCCUGACACUGACGCUGAGGCUCGAAAGCGUGGGUAUCAAACAGGAUUAGAUACCCCGGUAGUC